GUUGUAUGGUUAAGUGACUAAGCGUACAUGGUGGAUGCCUUGGCAGUCAGAGGCGAUGAAGGACGUACUAACCUGCGAUAAGCCGUGAGCAGUCGGUAAGAGACAUUACGACUCACGGAUUUCCGAAUGGGGAAACCCACUUAGCAUAAGCUAGGUAUCGCUGCGUGAAUACAUAGCGUAGCGAGGCGAACCGGGAGAACUGAAACAUCUAAGUACCCCGAGGAAAAGAAAUCAACCGAGAUUCCCUCAGUAGCGGCGAGCGAACGGGGAUUAGCCCUUAAGCAUCUUGGAAGUUAGUGGAACGGUCCUGGAAAGGCCGGCGAUACAGGGUGAUAGCCCCGUACACGAAAACAACCUUGAUGUGAAAUCGAGUAGGGCGGGACACGUGACAUCCUGUCUGAAUAUGGGGGGACCAUCCUCCAAGGCUAAAUACUCCUGACUGACCGAUAGUGAACCAGUACCGUGAGGGAAAGGCGAAAAGAACCCCUGUGAGGGGAGUGAAAUAGAACCUGAAACCGUGUACGUACAAGCAGUGGGAGCCCUUCGGGGUGACUGCGUACCUUUUGUAUAAUGGGUCAGCGACUUACAUUUUGUAGCGAGGUUAACCGUAUAGGGGAGCCGUAGGGAAACCGAGUCUUAACUGGGCGUCUAGUUGCAAGGUGUAGACCCGAAACCGGGUGAUCUAGCCAUGGGCAGGUUGAAGGUUGAGUAACAUCAACUGGAGGACCGAACCCACUAACGUUGCAAAGUUAGGGGAUGACCUGUGGCUGGGGGUGAAAGGCCAAUCAAACUCGGAGAUAGCUGGUUCUCCCCGAAAGCUAUUUAGGUAGCGCCUCGGACGAAUACUACUGGGGGUAGAGCACUGUUUGGGCUAGGGGGUCAUCCCGACUUACCAACCCCAUGCAAACUCCGAAUACCAGUAAGUAAUAUCCGGGAGACACACGGCGGGUGCUAACGUCCGUCGUGAAGAGGGAAACAACCCAGACCGCCGGCUAAGGUCCCAAAGUUCUGGUUAAGUGGGAAACGAUGUGGGAAGGCUCAGACAGCUAGGAUGUUGGCUUAGAAGCAGCCAUCAUUUAAAGAAAGCGUAAUAGCUCACUAGUCGAGUCGGCCUGCGCGGAAGAUGUAACGGGGCUCAAACCAGGCACCGAAGCCGCGGAUUUGCACUUAGUGCAAGUGGUAGGGGAGCGUUCUGUAAGUCUGCGAAGGUGUAUCGAGAGGUAUGCUGGAGAUAUCAGAAGUGCGAAUGCUGACGUAAGUAACGAUAAAGGGGGUGAAAAGCCUCCUCGCCGGAAGACCAAGGGUUCCUGUCCAACGUUAAUCGGGGCAGGGUGAGUCGACCCCUAAGGCGAGGCCGAAAGGCGUAGUCGAUGGGAAGCAGGUUAAUAUUCCUGCACGACUUGUAAUUGCGAUGGGGGGACGGAGAAGGCUAGGUGGGCCAGGCGACGGUUGUCCUGGUGAAAGUGCGUAGGUGGUGUUUCUAGGCAAAUCCGGAGACACAACACUGAGACACGAGACGAACACACUACGGUGCGGAAGCCAUUGAUGCCCUGCUUCCAGGAAAAGCCUCUAAGCUUCAGAUUACAAGUCAUCGUACCCCAAACCGACACAGGUGGUCGGGUAGAGAAUACCAAGGCGCUUGAGAGAACUCGGGUGAAGGAACUAGGCAAAAUAGAACCGUAACUUCGGGAGAAGGUUCGCUCUUGACAGUGAAGUCCCUUGCGGAUGGAGCAGUUGGGAGUCGCAGUGACCAGAUGGCUGGGACUGUUUAUCAAAAACACAGCACUCUGCAAACACGAAAGUGGACGUAUAGGGUGUGACACCUGCCCGGUGCCGGAAGGUUAAUUGAUGGGGUUAGCGCAAGCGAAGCUCUUGAUCGAAGCCCCGGUAAACGGCGGCCGUAACUAUAACGGUCCUAAGGUAGCGAAAUUCCUUGUCGGGUAAGUUCCGACCUGCACGAAUGGUGUAACCAUGGCCAUGCUGUCUCCACCCGAGACUCAGUGAAAUCGAAUUCGCCGUGAAGAUGCGGUGUACCCGCGGCUAGACGGAAAGACCCCGUGAACCUUUACUACAGCUUGGCACUGAACAUUGAACCUACAUGUGUAGGAUAGGUGGGAGGCUUUGAAGGCGUGACGCCAGUUGCGCUGGAGCCGUCCUUGAAAUACCACCCUUGUAUGUUUGAUGUUCUAACGCAGGCCCGUGAAUCCGGGUCGCGGACAGUGCCUGGUGGGUAGUUUGACUGGGGCGGUCUCCUCCCAAAGAGUAACGGAGGAGCACGAAGGUUGGCUAAUCCUGGUCGGACAUCAGGAGGUUAGUGCAAUGGCAUAAGCCAGCUUAACUGCGAGACGGACAGGUCGAGCAGGUACGAAAGUAGGUCAUAGUGAUCCGGUGGUUCUGAAUGGAAGGGCCAUCGCUCAACGGAUAAAAGGUACUCCGGGGAUAACAGGCUGAUACCGCCCAAGAGUUCAUAUCGACGGCGGUGUUUGGCACCUCGAUGUCGGCUCAUCACAUCCUGGGGCUGAAGUCGGUCCCAAGGGUAUGGCUGUUCGCCAUUUAAAGUGGUACGCGAGCUGGGUUCAGAACGUCGUGAGACAGUUCGGUCCCUAUCUGCCGUGGGCGUUGGAUGAUUGAAGGGAGUUGCUCCUAGUACGAGAGGACCGGAGUGAACGAACCUCUGGUGUUCGGGUUGUCACGCCAGUGGCACUGCCCGGUAGCUAAGUUCGGAAUCGAUAACCGCUGAAAGCAUCUAAGCGGGAAGCGAGCCCUGAGAUGAGUCAUCCCUGACCCCUUGAGGGUCCUAAAGGGCCGUUGGAGACCACAACGUUGAUAGGUGGGGUGUGUAAGCGCGGCGACGUGUUGAGCUAACCCAUACUAAUUACCCGUGAGGCUUAACCAUACAACACCCAAGAAGUGUU
rnacentral:rRNA from 1 species